UACAGAGGUCCCAAGCGUUGUUCGGAUUCACUGGGCGUAAAGGGUGCGUAGGCGGCGCGGUAAGUCGGGUGUGAAAUCUCGGAGCUUAACUCCGAAACUGCAUUCGAUACUGCCGUGCUCGAGGACUGGAGAGGAGACUGGAAUUCAUGGUGUAGCAGUGAAAUGCGUAGAGAUCAUGAGGAAGACCAGUGGCGAAGGCGGGUCUCUGGACAGUUCCUGACACUGAGGCACGAAGGCCAGGGGAGCAAACGGG
rnacentral:rRNA from 1 species